AGCAGCCGCGGUAAUUCCAGCUCCAAUAGCGUAUAUUAAAGUUGUUGCAGUUAAAAAGCUCGUAGUUGAAUUUUGGGUUUGGCCAAUUGGUCCGUUCUUGUAACGAGUACUGGUUGGUUGGGCCUCACCGCCUGGUGAUACGUAAUGUCCUUUAUUGGGUGUUGCGAGUAGCCAGGACCUUUACCUUGAAAAAUUAGAGUGUUUAAAGCAGGCUUAUGCCGGAAUACAUUAGCAUGGAAUAAUAGAAUAGGACGAUGAUUCUAUUUUGUUGGUUUCUAGGAGCAUCGUAAUAAUUAAUAGGGAUAGUUGGGGGCAUUAGUAUUCAAUUGUCAGAGGUGAAAUUCUUGGAUUUAUUGAAGACUAACUACUGCGAAAGCAUUUGCCAAGGAUGUUUUCAUUAAUCAAGAACGAAAGUUAGGGGAUCGAAGACGAUCAGAUACCGUCGUAGUCUUAACCAUAAACUAUGCCGACUAGGGAUCG
rnacentral:rRNA from 1 species